ensembl:lncRNA
AGAGAUCCCUGUGUGCCUGAGGCCUUCUGAAGCCUGGUGAUCCUAGGCUCCUGCCUGAAAUGACGCUGGUGCUUGUAGGAGGUGUUUUUCCCUGGACUGUGAGACUAGUGAGAUGCUGAAGCUGAACACGGAGCAGAUUUGCAGCUGAUUGCCCUGAUUGGAGCCUGGGAUGCGCUGUGCCCAAGCCAAGCAUCUGAGGGGUGCCAGCUCCAUUGCUGCCAGGGCUGGGAAAAGCACGGCCGUGCGUGGGGCUCCCUGUGGCCUCCUCAGUGGGACAGCCUUUCACUGCUGACACGUGUCUCAGAGAUAAAACAUCAUAACUUUACAGCACACACACAAACAUCUAUGGAAAUGAAAAUACUCUUUUGCUCCAAUCCUCUGGACAAUUCCAGUCUUCACAGAUCUGGGUGGUAGCAUCUCUUCUUGCCUGCCUUCCUUCUGAAAACAUAGAAAUCCCACUAAGGUGCUGUCACAGCAUUCAGACAUCAGCAUGAAGCUUGGGCAGCCUCAUCCAUAAGCUGUGGGCUCCUCAUGGGUGCUGCUGGCUAGGGGGGAGGUUUCCCUCUUUUGGGGCUGAUGGGAAGCGCAGCUGAUGCUUGCAGUGGAACUGGAAGAAAAUCAUGGUCCUGUGCACACAGGGGAUGGCCAGCUCUGUCACUAGAAACAUAAUCCCUCUUUUGGAACAAUGCUUCUGACAAGUGAAGUCAUCUUCAUCAUUAGUUUGGAUCAUGACAGAAGAAUAAACUUUCCAGAAGAUACUGCUUGUCCUUCACUUAUGUAAGUUAGGGAGGACUCUGGGCUCCCACUGAACAUUAAAAAUCUCCUCUUCUCUGUACUUUUCCAGCUUGUUUGAUAGAGGUAUUUUGGUAGAUUUAAUAAUAAUAAUAAAACUUUUAUUAAAAAAAGAAAAUCUUAAUUACACAAAUGCUUGGUGUGGACAGGAAGGCUCAUGUCAAAAGGUUUAAGCUUUGGGUUCAAUUUGGAUGAAUGCCUGAAAUUUAGUUCUGAACUAGUGGCAGCCUUUGAAUUUAUAAAUAUUAAUAUCCACCUGAGAUUCCAGUCCGAAGAAAAAGCAAGACUU